GUGGAUCUCCCUGUGCCAAAGC
rnacentral:miRNA from 12 species